rnacentral:rRNA from 1 species
AUUGAACGCUGGCGGCAGGCCUAACACAUGCAAGUCGAGCGGAUGAGUGGAGCUUGCUCCAUGAUUCAGCGGCGGACGGGUGAGCAAUGCCUAGGAAUCUGCCUGAUAGUGGGGGACAACGUUUCGAAAGGAACGCUAAUACCGCAUACGUCCUACGGGAGAAAGCAGGGGACCUUCGGGCCUUGCGCUAUCAGAUGAGCCUAGGUCGGAUUAGCUAGUUGGUGGGGUAAUGGCUCACCAAGGCGACGAUCCGUAACUGGUCUGAGAGGAUGAUCAGUCACACUGGAACUGAGACACGGUCCAGACUCCAACGGGAGGCAGCAGUGGGGAAUAUUGGACAAUGGGCGAAAGCCUGAUCCAGCCAUGCCGCGUGUGUGAAGAAGGUCUUCGGAUUGUAAAGCACUUUAAGUUGGGAGGAAGGGCAGUAAGUUAAUACCUUGCUGUUUUGACGUUACCGACAGAAUAAGCACCGGCUAACUCUGUGCCAGCAGCCGCCGUAACAC